GUGCUGGUUUUGGCAGCACAUGUAAUAAAUUACAAUGAUACAGAAAAGAUUAGCAUGGCCCCUGCCCAAGGAUGACACACAGAGUAACAAGAGGUUGUUAGAUAUGUCU